rnacentral:rRNA from 1 species
UUAUUAAUACCCCCAAAAGCACUUGAUAUUUAAUUAAACAAACCAUUUUUCCCCCUAAGUAUGGGCGACAGAAAAGAAACAUUCAGAGCAAUAGAAAAGUACCGCAAGGGAAUGCUGAAAAAGAAGUGAAACAACUCAGUAAAGUUUAAAAAAGCAGAGACCAACACUCGUACCUUUUGCAUCAUGAUUUAGUCAGUAAAAACAAGCAAAAGGUACUUUAGUUUGUCUCCCCGAAACUAAGUGAGCUACUCCAAGACAGCCUAAAAUAGGGCUAACCCGUCUCUGUGGCAAAAGAGUGGGGCGAGCUUAGAGUAGAGGUGAUAAACCUACCGAACUUAGUUAUAGCUGGUUGCCUGAGAAAUGAAUAGAAGUUCAGCUUUUUGGUUUCUCCCCUUAACCUGCUUAGCCAUGACCAAGCCAAAGAAACCAAAAAAGUUAAUUAAAGGGGGUACAGCUCCUUUAAACAAGAUACAACUUCACCAGCUGGGUAAAGGCCAUAUACAAUCAAGGUAAAAUGUUUUAGUGGGCCUAAAAGCAGCCACCUAUAAGAAAGCGUCAAAGCUCCUUCAUACCACCACCUCCAAAUUCAGAUAAUGCACCCUAAGCUCGCUAAUCUCAUCAAGCCGCCCCAUGCCAUCAUGGGGGUGUUUAUGCUAAAAUGAGUAAUAAGAAAAGGCACCUUUUCUCCUUGCACUCGUGUAAAUCGAAACGGACCCCCCAUCGAACAUUAAUCGGCCCCAAAAAGAGGGUAAUGAAUUAUCAGCCCCAGUAACAAGAAAAACACCCAAACAUUAACCGUUAAUCUCACACUAAUAUGCUCACAAGGAAAGACUAAAAGAAAAAGAAGGAACUCGGCAAAUACAAGCCUCGCCUGUUUACCAAAAACAUCGCCUCUUGAAAACUAAGCAUAAGAGGUCC